rnacentral:sRNA from 15 species
AAGCAACCCAUCCAAAGUGCCGAAAAACGGGAGAGAACCGGCCGUAUAGGACUAAUGCAGGAUGGCAGUCAGACGUCCCCAGAGGCGCUCCGGGCCUGGCCUACUUGU